CGCCAGAUAGCUCAGUUGGUAGAGCAUCUGACUAGAGAUUCAGGGGGCCCGGGUUCGAAUUCCGGUCUCGUCC
rfam:Crassostrea gigas strain 05x7-T-G4-1.051#20 contig22427, whole genome shotgun sequence.